rnacentral:rRNA from 1 species
CGCGUAGGUGGCCACUAUAAGGCCGCGGUGAAAGUUCGGGGCUCAACCCUGAAUCGGCCGCGGCGACUGUAGGGCUUGGGCACUGUAGAGGCAGACGGAAUUCCGGGUGUAGCGGUGGAAUGCGUAGAGAUCCGGAAGAACACCGGUGGCGAAGGCGGUCUGCUGGGCAGUGGACCCGUGAGGGUCCAAUAGCCGACACUGAGGCGCGACAGCGUGGGGAGCAAACAGGAUUAGAUACCCUGGUAGUCCACGCCGUAAACGAUGGGCACUAGGUGCUCCGGGGAGCGACCCUUGGAGUACCGGCGCUAACGCAUGAAGUGCCCCGCCUGGGGAGUACGGCCGCAAGGCUGAA